rnacentral:lncRNA from 1 species
GUUUAUUAUAAUAUGGAAACAAUGUAAAAAAAAAAAAAAAAAUUACAAUAAAAAUAAAAGUUUACAUAUAUGAUAUUGCUUUAUUAUUAUUGCCAAGAGAACAUCAUAUUAUCAUAAUGAUAAUAAUAAUAUUUAUUACAUAAUAUUAUUAUUAUACGACAUUACAUAAUUAUACGGUAUACACAAGAUAAAAAUAUGUAUAUUUAUAUAUAAUAUACCUAAACGUUUUGUUUUGUUUUUUUUUGUUUUUUUCAUAUCAUUUUUUUACAUACGGUAUUGACUAGGAUAUUCGCGUGUCGGCUACUAACACACGGCAUAACAAUACACCUAAUAUUAUAUCAGCGUGAGUUUUUCUUAAAUUUAUUAUUAAAAUUUUACCCGACACGGUCUACGAUAUAAAGGCGUUUAGCGUACCGUAUACGUUUUCGGUAUACCGAAUAUGAUAAUAUAAUGAUUAUUAUUAAAUGUUAUGCCGAUAUUAUAUUUGAUGCACUUUUCAAUAUUAGAAGCGAUAUAUUGUUAUAAUACGUUUAUUGUAUAUAAUAUAUUAAAAAUAAAUAAUAAUAAUAAUAAAAUUAAAAAAAAGUAUCGAAAAAUCUAUAGUAUAAUUAUAAUAAUAAAAAUUAGUAAUAAUGAUAAUGAUAAUAAUGAACGACAGAGAAAAAUGCAAGAACAAAUAAAAAUUACACAAACAAAAAAAAAUUAAGAAAGAAAACCCGACACUAUUCGUAUACCUAUACUUAACUAUAUUAGAUGUCGACUUCACAGUAUGGAUAUUACCAGCGGUGACAUCACCCGGUAUAUUGUAACGGGACAUCGGUUACCUACACAAUAAAAAAUAGAUAUCGGGUAAUGCCCGGAAGACUUGACGUCAGAGGUUCCUAAAGAAAAAAAAAAAAUUGGCUUAACACGGUUCUCGUCGUGGCUAUAAAACUAUUCACGUUUUGUAGACGCGAGAUCGUUAUUGCAUAACGUGAUAUUUAUUGUAUUUUUUGUUUGCGUGCUAUUCACGCGUACAGAUAGCGCUGUCGGGCACGUUAUUGGCCGUCGGACGAAAAUACGAUUCCCGAUAUGCCCAGGGAAAUAGACGCACGUUUUCCGAUAGAUACGAGUGUAGAUUUCGGAGCACCUACCAAUUUAUAUUUUACAGUGUGCGACGCGUGACGGUAUGACAAUGAUGGGAUUUCACGGAAUCGGUCCACGGUAAAUAUUACGCAUAACUAGUGCUUUAGGUAUGUUCUAAAAAAAAAUGUAGUGGACGACCUUUUUUAUCACUCGAAAGUUACAUACUGCUAAAAUACGCUCUGAUGGGCAAAACGUGUUAUAUGUUAUGCGCAAAAUUAAAUCCAGAAUUUAGAUUCUUUUCACGGGUACCUUGUUGUGGACAAUAAGGCCUCUGCUUUUGCUACCCGGAAACCAACUCGCAUAGGCGUCCGAGAAAAACGACCGUACCACAGGAGAGUUCUCCGUCGAAAUUUCACUUAGCGUAAUAUAUGUUUGCAUACGUACGAACAAGAAUGGAAGAUUAGAUUAUACAGGUAUAAUUACGAGCAUACGGUAUAAUUAGGUAUUUACCCGACACGCGCUAGAACCCCGGUUUGUUAUAGGAACUACUCGGCAUUUCAUCGGUCGCUCAUAUCGUUCUCGGUUUUUUUUUUUUUUUUUUAAUAUUUGUACGGAGUUUAUAUUCUGUUACUGGUUUAUCGUGGCGAAUUUUAUCGUUUAAGUAGGCCAAUACUAAUAUUCUCGUCUAUGAAUGGAAAGAUUUCGUGUCCACAGACAGUUGUACAACCGCGGAAGGGGGAGGGGGGGGUUAGCUAGGCGGAUUGUUUGCGAAUUCUCCCUGCGAUUUGUACUGCGAUUUCAGAUGUUACCUUGUAAUUUCGAAUGGCCGCGAACUUCACUUGUUUGUAUGCAACGACCGCAAACCCCCGAAAAUUAAUCCCGCCGGUCGAGCCCACUGCCUGUCGGUAAAUCAAUUCCACACGAUAUGAUAAUGUGUUUUCGUAUCCUACAGCGUAUAUAAACCGCGUAAACAAAAAUAGCGGUUCGCGAUCAAUGAAACGACGAGGACCGUGACACCGGUAGGCGAUCAUAACGCUAUAGUAAAGUACCUAAAAUAAUCAAUUUUUUCAUGCAAAUAAAGUCCCCGCGCUCUUGUACGACACCGCGGAACGUACCGUUAUCAUGGUAAUAAUACGCGCGUAACUAUUUUAGAUACAAUAAAAAUGUGUAUAACCUAAAAACUAUAAUAAUAUUAUUAUCCUUAAAUUAAUCGUAGAAAAAUCGCUACAAAAAAACGUUUACGUUUAAAAAAAUUUCUCGAAAAAAAAACAUCAGCGCCUCUAAUGUUACAAAUAUAUAAUGUUAUUGUAAUAUACGAUAAUAAUACGACAACGCAAUAUUUUCAUAAUAUUACCGUAACGAUGCGACUGAGCGCCGACUCCGUGUAAAAUAUAUCAUAAUACAGAGUAUGGCGGCGGCGGUCCGUAACCGAUAAUAUUAUUAUUAUCGUUUGUUAUCAUGUACAAUAAGUAUUGUAUCAAAAUACAAUACGGGUAGCGUAGCUAAUUAAAAAAUAGCUAAACAAUAAAACUAAAUAUAAUUAUUAUUAUAAUUUUUUUUUUUUUAUUUCGUUUUUUCAUUAUUUUAUUGAGCAUUACAAUUUUUUUUUUUUUUUUUUUUUUUUUUUUACGGUUAUAUAGUCUCAUAAAUCUGUUUUCCAAACCCUAUAUCAUAUUGUAUCAUAACGAUACACACUAUAUUUAAUAUCAUUAAAUUAUUGCGUCUGUAAAUAAUUAUCAUCUAUCAGUAAAAUAAUACAGAUAAUAUUUAUAUAAAACGUUGUCGCCAUUUUGUUACGCCGUCCCGUACGCAUUUCGUUCGUUUUUUUUAUUAUAAUUUACGAGGUGGUUACACCUAUGGAAUUAAAAAAAAACCUUCCGGCCCCGAGGUAAGAAUCGCAGACAUUCGUGGGCACGGACGUUGGCGUAACGUUAGGACUUUCUCGGGUGACUUGACCGUCAACAGGCGGCGCCGGACCGUCGACUCCUCGGCGUCGAGACGCCUUUUGCUCGGGGCCGCGGUUUAUGGGGUAAAACCAACGUGUAAACGCUAAGCCCCCGAUAGCGCCCCCCCCCCAAAAUAUAGUUACGUCGGUGGGCGCGGACACAUAACGACGACGUCAACGGUGAUAUUAUUCUCUCAACACGCCACUAAACGCUAAAAUAGCCAUCGUUGAAAUCGUUUUUUUUGUUUUAUUAUUUAUGUAUAUAUAUACAUAUAUCGGGUGUACGCAAUAUCGUAUACGUUAAUACGCAGUAGUACACGCAAUAGAUAUAAUAUAACUUCAUUAAAAAAUUACGCGCUAAGAACAAUAAAUUAUUAUCGAUAAUACUAAAAAUACAUGUUUUUCUUUUCUUAUAUUACUUACGACGAAAAUGCAUAUAUAUAUA